GUGGGGAAUUUUGCGCAAUGGGCGAAAGCCUGACGCAGCAACGCCGCGUGAGUGAUGAAGGUCUUCGGAUCGUAAAGCUCUUUCGGCCGGGACGAAACCGCGCUGGCCAACAUCCAGCGCCUUGACGGUACCGGAAGAAGAAGCACCGGCUAACUCUGUGCCAGCAGCCGCGGUAAUACAGAGGGUGCUAGCGUUGUUCGGAAUUAUUGGGCGUAAAGCGCGUGUAGGCGGUGAUGCAUGUCGGGUGUGAAAGCCCUCGGCUCAACCGGGGAAGUGCGCCCGAAACUGCAUCGCUGGAGUGCCGGAGAGGGUGGCGGAAUUCCCGGUGUAGAGGUGAAAUUCGUAGAUAUCGGGAGGAACACCAGUGGCGAAGGCGGCCACCUGGACGGACACUGACGCUGAGACGCGAAAGCGUGGGGAUCAAACAGGAUUAGAAACCCGGGUAGUCC
rnacentral:rRNA from 1 species